rnacentral:rRNA from 1 species
GCGAAGGUAGCGCAAUCACUUGUCUUUUAAAUGAAGACCUGUAUGAAUGGCACGACGAGGGCUUAACUGUCUCCUUUUUCCAGUCAAUGAAAUUGAUCUUCCCGUGCAGAAGCGGGAAUAAUACCAUAAGACGAGAAGACCCUGUGGAGCUUUAGACACUGAAUCAGCCCUUGUCCAAAAUCCCAGUUAAGGCUAUGAACACUAGAGUGAGAUCUGAUUUAAUGUCUUCGGUUGGGGCGACCUUGGGGAAAGAAAAAUCCCCCAUGCGGAACGGAAAUACUAUGCUUCCAAAACUAAGAGCAACCACUCAAAGUAUCAAAAAUUUUGACCAACUAUACGAUCCGGCUUAACGCCGAUCAACGGACCAAGUUACCCCA